CCGUAGUGGGACUAUUUAAACUACAGAACUUUGCAGAUGCUACCAAUCAAGGCUUUUUUGUUUUCUUGGAGAGCUGGUUGUUAAAUAUUUACCGCACACCGCUAUCCAGGCUUGUUAGGAAAUUCCUAAGUGAGAAGAUAUUCUGUGACUCCAGGGGCAGAAAGAGGGAAAGGGUCUAUGAGUCUGAUAGAAACGGCGAUUGACCCUUUCCACACAAGGAGAAGCAGCAACGGACAGGGCCUUGGCUGACUGGCUCCCUGCACCAUGGGGUGAGGCACAGGAAAACACCAAAGAAGGACCCAGCUGAACUGAAGGGGCUGAACCCAUGACUAGGAACCACCAGCAUGAAGAAACCCAGAAGAGCAAACCCUCUGCAGAAGGGCACGUGGAGGACCCUAACGAAGGAGAGAGGACACCUUGGGUCCCUGGGCUCUGUCCAAUGCCUCCAGGCCACAGAGGGCGCCCUAGCUGCUCCUCCAGGCGGGGAAGUUGACCUUCCCUAUAGUGCCAAGCAGAGGACAGAGGAUCUUGCGCUUGGGCAAAGGGAGAGAGAUGACUCCCAAGCUUCAGUUCUCCUCAGGGUUCCUCCUCAAAUGUCACUCACCAGGUGUAGGGGGACUGUGGACACACCAGGUCCUCAAGAAGCAGCAGGGGGUUUCUUUGCAUAACUGUCAUCAAAUGUUUCUAUGUUUUGGAUUUACUUCUAUAGAAUUUGUUUUUGUAAUUCAAACUAAUUUCUAAGUGAAAUCUGAAUCUCUUUUAUAAGGAGACACAACAAAAACAGAACAACAGAGGAAGAAAGAACUGAACUUAUUGAAAAGGAGCAGAGGCAUAAGAUGUUACCAGACACCUGAGAUGAGAUCAUUAGAACAGUUAGGCACUGCUCUGAGCCAAGGCGGAAAGGAAAAUCUGGAGUGACAUAGUCCACAUCAUCUGACAACAUAAGCAUAUCUUUUUUUUUUUUUUUGCUGAGCCACUGCUUCCUGGAACAAACUCAAGGAGUCAUUUUAUUACCUGGGUUCUUGAUGAGUGCAUGUUGGAUGACCAGUUGAACAAAGUCUUCACUAAAGUCUUGCAAAAAGACAAAGACUGUGACAUAGAAUAUUGCCCCUUUCUGAAAGGACAGCAGAAUUAAAGUGGUAUCUUUUUAAAAAUAAUCACUUUUAAGAUAUAUUUUUCUUAUAUCAAAGGUAAUGUAUGCUCAUUGUAGGAAAUUUGUUAAGUGCAUAUUUUUAAAAAGAGAGAGAAAUCUAUAAACUCACCAUUCAUUUAACCACUAUUAACAUUUUAGUGUCAUCCUCCCACCUUUUUUUAGUGUCAUUUUCCUACCUUUAAAAUAGGCAGGCAUGGCUACUUUAAAAAGAUAAAAAAUUACUACACAUAAUGUUUUAUUAAACAUUUUUUCAUUUAAUAAUAUAACAUGUCCAUUUCCCAUUCAAUAAAUUUCUCUACAGUGUCACUUUGAAUGCUUGCAGUACUGUGUUGAUAUUAACACUAUAGAAUACCUAGGAAGAUGUUAUUUCAAUAUAUUUAGGCAAUCCCCUGCAUGCUGGAUAUUUGGGUUUCUAACAUUUCACCUUUUUAAACAAGUGUGUGGUGAACAUCUUGUGCUAACUCAUCUCAAAGUAUCCUCCUUGACUAGCUGAGUUUUGGGGAGGGCAAAUCUAGUCCUCUCAAGACUGGGGUGCCCCAGAGGUCAAUGAAUUGUUUGCCCUAUGACUCGUGAGCACAAUCUAUACUUUUUGCAUUUUUCCAGGCAAGAAGGAGGAAACAGUGCUGGGAGCCCACAGUCUUGAUUUGAAGAGCAUUUCCUGGGCUGCUUAGUGAAAGCAAUAGAAUUCUUCAUUUCUGUCCCUUCAACCUGCAGCCUCAGGGUAGCAUGGAAGCAGAGAAGACGGAGUGUGGGGAUCAGUGAGGAGGCAGACAGGAUGGGGCUCACGUUGGCCACGGAUUAGAGCCCUAACACUCCGUGAGGGGAUGGGAACACGUCUCUGCAUGCGCUUCUCUCCCUGAGGGUCUGCCUCCUGUCAGGAGCGCGGUGGCCCUAGGCAGAGGUGAAACGCACUUGGAUACUUUUGCUUUUGUGUAGUGAGUUUGUUACCCCCAAAAGCUGUGUGGCGUUUGGAAGGAGCUCUCACUCUCCAUGGUUCUUUGGAAGACUCAAAGAUGUUUGUGAUCUAGGCACCAAGACUGGAAUCACUUCCAAAGAGCCACACAAAUACACAAACUCCCCUUCCAGCAAGUUCUUCCUACACAUGGUGAUCCCUAGUUAACGCAGACAGAUGAGAAUUUAUGACAUGUUUGAACACCAGUAAGGAAGGAUUUUUCUGGGUAAUGUGGUAUAGUAGCAAACACAACUAAAAAUGUCCCCAAGUAUGUCUUUAUGCAUUCGCACAUGUCCAACAACUUUGCUCUAAGUACACAAAGGUAGACUUAAAUAUUUAAUCCUUACAAAUCUGAAUUUAUUGUAAUCACAUUCCCAGCACCAUUCUUUUUCCCUAAGUAUUUUUUAUUUUCUAGAUUGUGCUUCAACCCCAAAGGACAUACUUUUCAGAAAAUGCUCCAUUAGAGAUGUUGUUGGAGCAACUUUUAUUAUUCAUUAGUAUGUUUUAAAGUUGACCCAAAUAGAAAUGCUUUUUGCUAAAGUAGAAAUACAUCCGUUUCUGUGAUCUAAUUGUACAAUUGGUUAGAAUUUCUAUCUAUUGGUUCAAAGGGGAACUUGGUUUCAGUGCAUUUGUUUUUAAUAAAAAUGUGUUAUCUAUGAUAAAUAUAUUUCACUUUGCUCAAAUGGAUUUGAUUGGGAAACAUAUUGAGCAGAGGUACUGGUAGAGCUUAAUUUCAUUGUUUUGAGAAAACGUAUUGAAUGCUGCUUUGAAUUAAAUUCUAUUUGUUUUAAUAAAAGUGUAUUGGCCUGAGUGUACAUAUAUUUGUUUU